rnacentral:rRNA from 1 species
UGGGGGAUAUUGCGCAAUGGGCGAAAGCCUGAUGCAGCGACGCCGCGUGGGGGAUGAAGGCCUUCGGGUUGUAAACUUCUUUUGCUCUGAACAAGGCAUGCCUUUGGGGUGUGUUGAGUGUAGGGGUUGAUUAGCGCCGGCUAACUACGUGCCAGCAGCCGCGGUAAUACGUAGGGCGCGAGCGUUGUCCGGAAUUAUUGGGCGUAAAGGGCUUGUAGGUGGCUGGUUGCGUCUGUCGUGAAAGCUCAUGGCUUAACUGUGGGUUUGCGGUGGGUACGGGCUGGCUUGAGUGCAGUAGGGGAGGCUGGAAUUCCUGGUGUAGCGGUGGAAUGCGCAGAUAUCAGGAGGAAUACCGGUGGCGAAGGCGGGUCUCUGGGCUGUUACUGACGCUGAGGAGCGAAAGCGUGGGGAGCGAACAGG